rnacentral:rRNA from 1 species
CGAACGGGUGAGUAACACGUGGAUAACCUACCUAUAAGACUGGGAUAACUUCGGGAAACCGGAGCUAAUACCGGAUAAUAUAUUGAACCGCAUGGUUCAAUAGUGAAAGACGGUUUUGCUGUCACUUAUAGAUGGAUCCGCGCCGCAUUAGCUAGUUGGUAAGGUAACGGCUUACCAAGGCGACGAUGCGUAGCCGACCUGAGAGGGUGAUCGGCCACACUGGAACUGAGACACGGUCCAG